rnacentral:lncRNA from 1 species
CCGAUCAUAUGGACCUAAGUCAUUGAACCUCAACCCAUCCGUAUUAAAUCAACACUUUGACUCUAAACCCAUUUAACCCAAUCUAAUCUAAACCCAUUAACCUUAACCUCAUCUAAAAUCCAUUAACUGUUACCCAUAACCCAAUCCUAUAACCCAAUCCAAUUAAACCUUAGCCCAAUUCUAAACCCAUAACCUAUAACCCAAUCCAAUUAAAUCUAGGCCUAGUCCAAAGCCCAGAGCCCAUUUACAAAUGGCCCCGGUCCAAAACCCAUUCGGGCCCACUAUCUAAGCCCAUUAUCCAAAACUCAUUAAAACCAUUAACCCAUAAACCCAUAUACAUAAACCUAUAUACAUUUACCCAUGAACCCAUACACAUUUAACCCAUAUCCAAGCCCAUAACCUUAACCAAGUCCAUGAACUUUGAACCAAAACCAUGGACCAAACCAUACACCAAAUCCUGUGGACCAUACCAUACACCAAAUCCACGAACUAUGAAUCAAGUUCAUGAAUCAAAUCAAGUUCAUGAGCCAUGGAUCAUAAACCACAAACCAUACACCAAGUUCAUGAACCAUAAACCCAUGAACCAUAAGUCCAUGAACCAUAAACCCAUGAACCAUAAGUCCAUGAACCAUAAACCCAUGAACCAUAAGUUCAUGAACCAUAAACCCAUGAACCAUAUCUAAGUUCAUGAACCAUAAUCCCAUAUACCCAAUACCAUAAACCUUGUGAACCAAACCCAAUCAAUCGACCGAAACGUCGUUAAACUAAUCCACCAAAUCAAUCGACCGAAACGUCGUUAAACUAAACCUAAAUCCGAUAUCGACCGAAAUGUCGUUAAACUAAACUCAAGUUCAAUUUUCACGAACAUCCCAAUUCCCAAAAUAUUCGAUUCUCUAGCAUAUAAAACUAGAGUCAAAUCACAAUUAUGUUCAAACUUGAUCAAAUUCUAAACCUAUAUUUAGAAUUGAUCAAACCAUCUGAUCAAAUUAAUUUGUUGGAUUCCAAUACAUACAUUUGGAGUUUAAUUUAAAUCAAAUCUGACUAAUCCUAAUACAUAUAAUUAGGAUUUAGUUAAUAUUUCACCUUGAGAUGAACCAAAAUCAAAUGUGACUAAGCUCUAAUACAUAAACUUAGAGACUAAUUGUAUCAGACUCUAAAAUAUAAAAUUAGAGUCUAAUUCAAGAUAUUUGGGGCUAAUCCUAAUACAUAUAUUUAGGAUGAAAGCUCAAAUCAAACUCUAUUGGACUUUAUUACAUAUAUUUUUAAAGUUCAAUUAACCAAAUCAACUUCUAAUACAUAUAAUUAGAGUUUAAUCAAGUUCGAUUAAAUUCCAAUGCAUAUAUAUGGGAUUUAAUCAAUCUUUCAUCUCAUGGUAAACAAAGUUGAGCUCCAAAAUAUAUAGAGCUCAACAAAAUCUGAUCAUCUAUUGGACUUUAUUACAUAUAUUUAAAGUUCAAUUAACCAAAUCAAACUCUAAUACAUAUAAUUAGAGUUUAAUCUGAAUUAAAUCUGAUUAAAUUCCAAUACAUAUAUAUAUGGAAUUUAAUCAAUCUUUCAUCUUAGGGUGAAUAGUGUUGAGCUCCACAACAUAUAGAGUCCAACAAAAUUAAUUUGACCAUAUAUUGGGUAUCUUAGAAUAUAUAACUAAGAUACAAUUGAAAAAUACAUUUUCUUUACGCUCUAUUCAUGUACACUGAGGGUAUGCCCUUGGUUAAAGCCAUGUAAUUGAGCAAUAAAUUGUAAAUUUUCUUUUGUCCAAUUCUAUUUUAUCUUCAGCAUUUCAGAGGUCUCUUAAUCGAAGGUGCCCUAAUAUUCUAUAGGGGUAAUUAACAAUAGACGCUUGCGUUUAUUGGAAGCCAUGGAUCCGCAAUACCUGAUAACCAUACAUACACAUAUUUUAAUCUACAUCAUGAAUACUACCCCACGGGAGAACCAAAAGAUAAAAAUUUCCCGUGCGAGGUGCGUCAUUCGUGGUGGCAGACAAAAUGGCACGCCCGGUGGGACUCGGCUUCUCCUUCCAUCUUUGAGACCGAUGAUAUGCUAAUAGAAUUGGACGGUAAAUAUUUAAUCUACACUCGUUAUUCCCCUGCAGGAGAAAUGGCACCUAAGAACACUGCUGCGGGCUCGAUGACGAUCAAGGCUGGUCAGGUUUCCCUGCCAGCAUCCAUCCUCACUUUCGGAGCUGCCGGUGCUACAAUCCAAUUCGGCACCAUCCCGGAAGAGGCUAGGGCUGCUGCUAUGGCCCCUUUCACUGCUGCUACCAGCACCGACAUCGUUAAGACUGUGGUUCCCCGCCUUCUCUCUCGCGGAAGGCGCCCGAAUGUCGUCAUCCCCAACCCUCCUCGCGUUCCAAUGAAGGAGAGGAUGACUCUUAACGCCUCUCGUGUCCCUGUGAGGGAGAGGAUCACGCCUAUCAGUGCUUCAAAGAGAAUGGAGCUACAAGGUAGGCUAGUGUUCCAAAAUCGAAGUGAGGGAACAUCGCCACUUGAUAUGGCGCCUAAAGCGUCAGUCUUCAAUAGGUUGACGAUCCCCAAGAAUGCUGUGUCUCCUAUGACAAAGGCAUUCAAAAGAAAUCUUCGCCGUACUUUGAAGCGGCAAGAGAUGAACAAGGAACAGAAGUCUCGACAAACCCAACUUACUAGGUUUGUCGCUGGACCUGAUGUUUUGGUCCAUAACCGAUAUGCACCCCUGAGGUUUGUGAGGAAAAACUCACCUACGACCGUUCUGUGCCCAGAGUCAGAAAUGGCCCACUUAAAGCCUUCCCCUGCAUGUUCUCGUUCGAGAAACAAUAACGAGAACCCUGUCUGCAAGCGGAUAUAUAAAGCCUUUAAGGCUGCAAAGGGAAGGAUAAACAUAGAGAAGAAGAUUGAGAAGCCAAAAUGGCAGCGAAGGUCGACGCUAUCCCAUGAAGAGAGAAAAACAGAAUGGAAGCCCAAAACUCUUACUCAAAUCAAAGAAGAAAAAUCUAAAAAUUUGGAGAUUCAUACUGUGAGAGUUAUAGGGCGUGUGCCCUCAAGUGAGGCUGUUAACGAAGAAGAAACAAUUCAACAAAUGCUUACCAGAGCUGCUGCAAGAAAAGCAGCAGAAGAGAAGGCGAGAGCUAAAGAAACAAGCUCUUUGCAAAACGCUGGGAAUAAAGAUGACUUACCUGGUGAUCUAUCUGAUCCACGGGAGGAAGAAGAGGUUGUAUUCUUCCCUAGGGAUCCAAAGGAUGCUAUAAUCGCAUCCUUGAAAAAGAAAGUUGAUGAAAAAGAUAGAGAUAUUAUAAAUCUCUAUAAGAAAAUAGAGGAGGUUAUGGGUUUGAUGAUGAAUGUACAGAAACAGUUGGAGAAUCAACGGCAUCAAACCAAGACUCCAGCUCGGACAGAAGCACCCGCACCCCAAGUCAUUAAUGAACAGGCUAAAACAACUGUUCCUAAAGAGACUACCUCUUUGACUAAAGAAGAGAUUCAUGAUUUGAUCACUUCUUAAGUUAAAGAAACGGUAGCGGGGGCAAACCCAAAACCAAAAGGGAAAGGACAUCCUUAUCUAUCAGAAUAUGAUAAUAUACCUUUUCCAGACGGGUAUCAAGUCCCUAAGUUCAAAAUGUUCUAUGGUGUUGGUAACCCUGAUCAGCACCUAGCACAUUUUAAGGCCAUGUGUGGAAAUACCGGGAGUAACGGGCCUCUACUCUUACGACAAUUUCCACAAAGCUUAUCGGGUAUAGCCUUUGAAUGGUACUACUCCCUCGAGGAUGAGUCCAUUAAAACUUGGCCCGACAUGGAAGAAGCUUUCAAAGCAAAAUUCGCCACUGCUAGCGAUAAGAUUACUAUCGCUGAUCUGGUAGCCACCAGACGAAGGAAAGAUGAAACGAUGUUAGAUUACAUCACACGGUGGCGAAACUUAAGUAUAAGGUGUGAACAACCUCUAGAUCAGACCCAGGCCGUUGGUCUUGUUAUGGGCAACAUUGAUAAUUGGAUGGCCCCAUUUCUUUGCACAUCUAGUUGUUCCACCUUUCAUGAAUUAAUAUCAAACGUCUCUAGGUUGGAGAGAACUGAUCCCCAAGUUUAAUAAAUGUACAAAAGACAAAAAGGGAUGAUAAUAAAAGAGUUGAGGCAAAGAUGGCACAGGCUAGACCGGCCCGCACGAACAUGAUAGAAAAAGGUAAAAGGGCAAUUACCUCUGCAGUUGAACAGACCCCUGUAAAGCCUAUGUUUGGGGGCAAUAAUCCAAAAGCACUUUCUCUGGAAGAGUGAAGAAAUAAAGUGUACCCUUUCAAACGGGAAAAAGUUAAGAAAAUAUUUAACGAUGCUGUUAAAAAUGGUCUUCAACUGCCCGAGCCAAGGAAGCCGGAGGUGUGGAAAAACUGAUAAUCCAAAAUACUGCCCAUAUCAUAGGCUAAUUAGCCAUCCAAUUGAAGAUUGCUGGGUUUUCAAAGACUGGAUUGAAAAACAAUAUAAAACCGACGCAAUUACCCUUUCACAGUCGGUAUUAUCAGAAACGCCAGUCGAACAGACCAAUAUGAUUGGUGUGGGUGCGGAAAAUAUAGAAGGAAUUGAAAAUGCAUUUUCCCCCGAGUUUUGGAAUAUAUUCUUAUCUAAGAAAACUCGAAAAAUGUUAAAAUAUUUAAAAGAGGUUCCAGGGAUAAAGUGGCGAGGCCCUUUAAACCCGGAAGUGCAGUCUGAGGAUAAGCCCAUGCCUUCAGUCAAAAAAUCUAAUACUCCAGCCAAGUCGAGGCGCAGAAUAGCUCGGGCGAAAAAGAAUAAGAAAUUCGUUGAGCCAGCUGAGCCACAGCAUAAAAAACGGCCUAUUGAGGAACAUAUUGACUCAAUGGAAGAAUAUAAACAGGCUGAAAGGGAUCCUCUUCUGAUUCAUGAUUUUAUUUCCAAAGCAAUAGAAGAGGCUAAGAAAAAGAAAAACUCUGAUGAAGGAAAAAUUCCUGUUGAGGAAUGUAAAGAAACAGAAGAGCCUUUUUGGGGAGAGGCUUGCAGAGUUAUCACCACGCGACGCGACGAUGAAGAAACUUUUCCUUCUGGCCGCGUUAGAGAACAAGAAAGGAAUCUCAGAGAAAUUCAUAGCCAAUUGGCUGAGAUAAAAGAAAUGACACGUUGCAGCUUUCACAGGGUAAAUGAUAAUAUAUUGGAUAUGAAAGCAUGCUUGAAUGUAAUGUUCUCUAUGAUGAUUGGGAUCGAAGCCAGAGUGGAACAAUUAAUGAAAAUUACUCCUCUCCCUCAGCAGACUCAGUCACAAAACCACAGAGAACGGGAGAUCGAGCCGUUGCCAAGGCUUACAAAUCGAUCUUCAAAUCAGCAUUCACCCAAUACUUUUCGAAGUGAUAAAGGAAAAACCCCUCUUAUAGAAACUAAAAAUAUGGGUGGGGAAUGUCCGAGAACGGCACUGACAGAAAGAAGGAAUUCUCAGUAUUCUAACGGCGAAAGUACACCCAUGUAUUGUCCUUUUCAUGAAGUGAAAGGACAUAACCUAGAAAACUGUUACGCUUUUCAACAUAUGAGAAAAUCAAGAAAGCAGUUUUCUCAAAGGACAAAUAUCAAGCAAAAUACCAGAAGCACAAGCCACGAGAAAAAUAAGGACAAGACUAUUCCUUACACACGGGAGUCAUGCCGUGUGAUUACAAUAUCUGAUGACGUGUCAGAUGACGUGUCAGAAAGCCCUGCGCCGACCCUGGGGGCAAAUCAACAGACCUCCACACCAAACGAUGAUACUUAUGUUGAUCCUUUGGAAUUAUAUGACACUUCAACUUAUAAUGAUCCAAUGAAUAAGUUGUAUAGAAUGGAGUGUCGCUUAAUCAGAAUGGAGGGAGAAAUGAGGGGGCUGCACAAUGAUAUUAACUUCAUAAAGAUGAAUAUGAACAGUAUGACUGGCGAUAUAAAGGGCAUAGAUAUUCAAAUGAGAACUAUAAUAGAUAUGCUCAAGACAGAUGCUACUGAAGCAUCAAAAAGAUGUCGGGUUGAGACAUGCCGAGUCAUAACUGUGCAAGUUGAUUCGGAGCAAUUAAAGUCAACAAAAGCCGAAUACGACGCAAAUUUCUAUGAAGCACACAUAAUUGCUCAAGAAAUUAAAAGAAUGUCGGUGAGAGGAAAUGCAGGGUCAUCUUCGCUGAAAAAGAAGAAGAAACCAACUCUAAGCCAGCAGUCAGAGGCUCGCCAGAAUAAUGAACCUCUAAUUAAGGAAGGGAAAAAGAAAGUUAUAUCGACAGAGUUCUGUUCCUAUCACAAUAUAUGGGGGCACACCCUAGAAAAUUGUCGCCAAUGAAAAAAGAUGCAGAAUCUAACUGUUGACAAGGCGAAGCUAAAGGUCGAUCAACCGACGGUUGCCGGGUCCAAAAGUCAACGAUGGAAGAGACAUCUGCCACGAUUUGAGAAACAACAACCCAUUACUCUGGAAGAAUUCAGAAAAGCAUGCUAUGAUGCUUUCGAUGAUAUGAAACCGCGUUGUUGUUGGUGUAGAGCGAGAGGUCAUGCUUAUGAUGUAUGCGUGAAACUUCGAGACCAUAGAAAAAACAAAUCACAGCUCAAAGAGUCGUGUCGAGUAAUAACAAUCUCUGAAGAGCAAUCUGACGACUCUGUAAAUCAAGAGAAUAGGGUCAGGCAAUCUGCUGGUGCACGUGAAGAUGAUGAUACCGCGUGGCUAGCAUACAAUACCCCGAGCAGGGAUUAUGGUGCAAGGAGAAUGGAAUAUCGUCUUCUUGAGAUUGACAAUGAUUUGAGGAGAGUGCAGAUUGAUGUACGCUCUCUAGCAACAAACAUAGAUUGUGUGGCCAUGGCGGUAAAAAGCAUGAAGGAACAAUUGAAAGAGAUCCUCAACCAGUUGAAUACUCUUGAAAAGACUAGAGUCGAAACAUGCCAAACUGUUACUUAUGGUACUGACUCUAAUACUAAGCAAGAUAAAGAAGCUGAGGAUUCUUUGCAAAUCACGCUGAAAUCCGGAAAAGUAUUACCAGAAAGACAAGGACAUCCCCAAAAUCUUAAAGAUAAAGAAAUUCGGAUAAAUGAAGAGGCACCGACUUCAUCAAGUCAAGGGAGAUUAUCAAAGGCUGACUAUAACAUACUUUCCCAUUUAAGAAAAGUGCCUGCUUUGCUGAGUGUUUAUGACGCUCUGAUGAUGUCCAAAGAACUUCGGUGUAACACACUGGACCUUUGCAAAUUGCGAGGUUCGAGUGUUUGGAUGUAUUUCGAGCUUUUCCACACUUGGUGAAGGGUUGUAGAAUAUUUUCCGACCUAAAAAGUUCGAAAAUCGGGAUUCUGGAUAAGUCCUGAGAGUUUUUACUCUCGGGGACCGGUCCCUGGAAGGAGAGACCGGUCCCCCAGUGAGCAGUGUUGAGGCAGCCUGAGGCAACCGGUCCCUGGCAGGCGAGACCGGUCCCCGAGCGCAUCUUCGCAGUCAGAGACCGGUCCCGCCCAGGGAGAGACCGGUUCCCGAAUGCUGGUUUUUCGGGUUCGCAGCGAGAGACCGGUCCCUGCUGGGGAGAGACCGGUCCCUCUGGGCGAAAACUGCCCAGUUCGGACUGAUGCAAAUUUGAAUUUUUGAGGGGCCUCUCCGGAUUUUGUUACACUAGUUGGGCUUAUUAGCCAUUUCCUCCUCUUCCCUCUCUCAUUUUCUCAUUCUCACCCUCUCCCUACACUAUCUAGAGAGAGAAGAAGAAGAAGAAGGAGCAGAAGAAGAAGAGGAGCUAGCUUGAGGGAGCUUGGAGCUCAACCCCUUUCUCUCUUUUCCACCUUUGCAAGGCUUGGAGCUUGCUUAUAGAGCUUAGUGGUGGACCAAACUUCAACCCUAGGGCAUUUUGGGCUUGGAUUGAAGCUUCCAAAGGGUUAGUAUCAUGUUUCCCUCCUCUAGAUUCUUAUUUUAGUGAUUUUUGGGAGAUGAAACCUUAGAAAUGAGAUUUAGGGUUGAUUUUAGGGCUUUUUGAUCUAGGGCCUUUGAGGCUAGAUUAAUUGGUUUAGAACCUUCCUAGGGCUUGGAUUGGAAUGGUUCUAGCUCUCUUUUGGAGCUUUGGGAGAGAUUUCUACUCUUGAGAUUAGUUUUGGCCCUUUUUGCUUCUAGGUUAAUGUUUGAUAUUAUAAGAUGGUCGUAAUGCCCUCGUAUCUCUUCGCUGAUUACUUUUAGGGUAUUUUGAGACUCGGGGACAACUUUGUUCGGCGGAACGAGGCCCUACGCGACGGUUCGGUGGGUUUGACCUAGCCACACAAUGAGAAAUUCUCCUUUGUGCUUAAUUAAGUAUCGUUAAAUGAAAAAGCAUGCAUAUUCUUGUUAUAUGUAUUUAUUGUGAAUUUUAGAAUGCUUAAAAGGCCUAUGUUGUAUAUGAUGAAAUUUUGGACCUCUAUGGAGUAGAGAGUAGCUUGGUAGGCCUAUGGUUGCAUUUAGCGUUCUAUAUGAGACUUGAUUUCAUGCUUCUAUAGUGUACAUGAGUUUUGAUUCAUGCAUUUAAACUUAAGUUUACUUGUGACAUGAAAGAUGAUGAAAUUGCCAUAUAGAGGUAUUGGAACUAGAAUGUACAUGAUCUAGAGCUAAUGUCAUCAAGCGGCAUUGAGCUCGGGACAUGUGAGAACCUAGUGGAUAGGGCCAUUGAGGGAUUUGGAAUACAUGUUGAACAUCAAAUUGUCUAAGUGUCAUCAAGGGGCACUAGGCGUAGCCAAUGUUGAAAAUUCACAUUAUGCCUUAAACUAGAUCUUCGGGAUGCUAGUGACUAUACCAUGUUAGAGACAUGAGGAUUGGAUACUUGAGACUUGGACUUUGCUUGCUUGCCAUUUGUGCUCAUUCGCACAUGCUUGUGAGGGUCGCUCCCUACAAGCCGGCACUCCGGAGUUAGCCUACGCGACUUUUGUUCGCUCGUGCGGUAUUGAGAAGCCUACGGGGUCGAGUGGGACAGACACAUUCCAAGAGUAGGGAUGUUGGGCUACCACAGGCACUUAGGCGGCACAAGCUGGACUACCUUUGGUAGGUCCUUAAUUGGAAAUGAAAAUCGACACGGUGUUGUAUAUGAACAAUCACUACUAGAUAGGAUUAGUAGUUGGAUUACUUGGACACGCUUAUGAUAUAGCAUUGGUACAUUUAGUAUACUUGCCGGUUUCAUUAUUGCAUCGUAGUAUACUCGGUUGUUUGGAUAGAGUUUACCCUUAUGCAUUGACAUAUUGCAUCGUGAGGUUUACUUGUUUAUUAUGUUGAGACAUAUUAGUAUGCAUUGGACAUAUUACCUUAUGAUAGCGUAGAUGUACAUCACCAUGGCAUCAUGCUUACUUGAGAUAUAUGGGUUAGCACUUCAUUUAUGCUUUCUUACUGUGUUACUAUUAUCUUUAUGGUUAUUACUAUCUUGGACUUACCCCUUUCCUUUUGGGGCCUAGUGGUGCGAUGAGCUGAGGUCAGUAAUUGCCCACUGGGAACUAUAAAUUAUAGUUCUCACGCCCUCUUUUUCUCGAUGUUUUUCAGAGCCUUCCACUCAGGGUGAGGCCAGGGAUCGCGGGAAGGGAGUUGCUUCGAGCUAGCUUCCUUCGAGGACGAGUUGCUAGGUGGUCUACCUCUCGAUGUCUUAUUUUAUUUUGCGAGAGGUUGAGGGUUUUACCAGUGUACUAGAGACCACCAUUUUUGUACUAGUGACAGAUAUUGUACUACUUAUGAUUUCUUUUAUUGUCUAGCUUUACUUCUUUACCUUGGUGUAGAUGUUAGAACUUUACUCGCUCUGAUAUCAUUAGUUGCUAGUUAUUUCACUUCUUUUAUUUGUUCUAUCUCUUGCUUUUACUUCCGCUUUUCUUGUAGACGCCUUAUAUGUGUAGACAUAUGGCGGGUCUGGGCACGCUACCGGGAGGGCCUCCGCCGGUCCCGGGGCGUGACAGAUUAAUUUGGUAUCAGAGCCUAGGGUUGAGUCUUAGUGGACCUAGUAAACCUUAGGCCGGUUGGACUAUAGGAAUUAGGCUCGUGAGAGACGAGGUCUAAGUGACUUGUGAGCGAAAGUAUCCUGAUUGGGUGUCUUGAUAGCUCUACAAAGGUUAGAGUUUGAUCGGAGUGUAUGGCUUCUAACUUCGCGGAGGGUUACGUUGGCGGCCGACAACGUAACAUCGGGAGUUAGUUGUGAAGGACACUUCCUUACUUUCGCAUGAUUUGGAAUUUUAUCUAUUUGAGCGGGGAUGCGACAGCGUGGGUUACAAACUUGCGCUUUUAUGUUCUGUAGUGACGAUGCCGAUUACACGCGCCCAGUCUGCCGGGGCGGAUGAUGCGGCACACCCCGAGGAGGUCGAGACCUCCGCUACUUCCGGAUCCAGUGAGGUCCGCGACCUGAGGGCCCAGCUUGCGGUUCUCACUGAUCUGUUGGCGCAGCAGACGACGGCGGCGCAGCGACAGGCUGAGGUGGCUCAGCGGCAGGAGGCGCGGAUGAAGCACCUCGAGGACCUCCUACUUCAGCAGGCGGCAGCUUCGAGGGAGACUCAGGGUCCCACACCGCCAGCACCCGUGGUGGACGUCGCACCGAGGGCGCAGUCCCCCGCGCCCAGUUCUUCACGUGCGGCACCGGCGACCGCACCUCGGGAGGAGGUGGCUGCGGCACUACCUGCUCAGAGACCGGUGACAGGGGCAGCAUUCCCCGUGAUGGCCGAGGGAGCCGAGCGGGAUCGGCUUAUGGAGCGCCUCGGUGAGUUUAGGAGGUGCAGCCCGAGGACGUUUGAUGGCGAGAACGUCGACCACUGGAUUGUUGAGAAGUGGUUGCUGCACAUGGAGAAGCUGUUUCGAGACACUUUUGUGGAGGAGCGGGAUAGAGUUUGGCUCGCCACUCACUUUUUGGACGGGGAGGCCUGUCGUUGGUGGUUGGAUAUCCAGGACAACCCCAACACCGACUUGGCAGCGAUUACUUAGAUGAGGUUCAAGGAGCUUCUUCUGGCGCACCACUUCCCGACCAGCGUUAAGAGGAAGAUGGGGCAGGAUUUGCGCAGCUUGCGCUAGGAUGAGCGGACAGUGGCGGAGUACGAGAGGGAGUUCUCCCGGAUAUUACACUGUGUACCGUUUGUGGUGAGGGAUGACGAGGACAAGGCCCGCAUCUUUGAGCGCGGUUUGCGGCCUUCCAUCUUCCGGUUGGUGUAAUCUUCCAACCUCCAGACCUACCGGGAGGUUGUGGAUCGAGCCUUGAUUGUGGAGGCGGGAGCGGCAGAUCUGCAGGAGCGUCGCGAGAGCUUGGAGAAAGGGAAGGGUAAGAGGCCCGCGGCUGAGGGUGCGAGUCAGACGCACUCACGGAAGCCGCUGAGGCAUCCCAGGAGCAGGAGCCAGUCGCGAGGACGCGGCCAGUCUACCCAGCGAGGAGGACCCGAUCGUCGCCAGGCUCCCCGCUGCGUGAUCUGUGGCGGUCCCCAUUACCCGCGGCAGUGUUCACGCAGCCGGGGCAGGUGCUUCUUGUGUGGCCAGGAGGGCCACUUCCAGUCGGACUGCCCGAGGAGUCCAUUGCCAGCGCCAUCUGCGGCAUCUGCACCAGCAUCGCCAGGUCCCAGCCAGGGGACAUCUUCUGCGCAUCACCAGGCAGGACGGCCGCCAGUUCUGCGACAGGCGGAGGGGUCACGACAGGCCCCGAGCGGGCGCAUGUACGCGGCCCAGACUGAGGAGGCGGCGGCAGCCAAGAAUGUGGUCGCAGGUAUCAUUUUACUUUAUGGUAUUCGAGCUAGAGCUUUGUUUGAUACGGGUGCAUCGCAUUCAUUCAUUGACCGGCUGUUUGCCGAGUUGCAUGGCAUCCCACUUGCAUGCUUAUUGCAUCCAGGACGAGUUACUGUACCCGAUCACUCUUUGGACAUUCGGGAGUUUUGUCCCAGUUGCCCUGUUAGGAUUGGAGAUUGGAUCAUGCCCGUGGACUUGUUAGCGUUGCAUAAACUCGGAGAGUUUGAUGUAGUGUUGGGCAUGGACUGGUUGACUAAGUACUACGCCACCAUCGAUUGCAAGGAUCGAACGGUAACGUUUAGAGAGCCGGGGCAGGCGGAGGUUGUGUACCGAGGAUGCCAGAGUUCGCUGUUUGCGAUGACGAUUAGCUCUUCUCGAGCUCGGCAGUUGAUUAGUAGAGGCUGCGUAGCCUAUUUGGCUACUGUCGUGUUGCGAGGCGAUGCGGACGCCCCUAGGAUUGAGGAUAUUCCCGUAGUGCGGGACUUUGGAGAUGUGUUCCCACCGGAGCUUCCGGGCAUGCCUCCUGAUAGGGAGAUUGAGUUCGUGGUAGAUCUCGUUCCCGAGACUACUCCGAUCUCAAAGGCGCCCUAUAGGAUGGCACCAGCAGAAUUGAAGGAGCUGAAGGCGCAGCUGCAGGAUCUUCUGGACAAGGGUUUUGUGCGACCGAGCGUGUCACCGUGGGGAGCACCGGUCCUAUUUGUCAAGAAGAAGGAUUGAUCACUUCGUUUGUGCGUGGACUAUCGUGAACUUAAUAAAGUCACGAUUAAGAACAAGUAUCCAUUACCGAGGAUUGAUGAUCUAUUUGAUCAACUCCAGGGAUCUUGUGUAUAUUCCAAGAUUGACUUGCAGUCGGAAUAUCACCAGUUGAGGAUCAGACCUGAGGAUGUAUCGAAGACGGCUUUUAGAACACGGUAUGGACAUUAUGAGUUUACUGUUAUGUCGUUUGGGCUUACUAAUGCCCUGGCAGCUUUUAUGGAUCUGAUGAACCGUGUUUUCAAGCCUUAUUUAGACAGGUUCGUUGUGGUGUUUAUCGACGACAUCUUAGUGUAUUCCCGGAGUGACGCGGAUCACGAUGAACACUUGAGACUUGUACUUCAAGUGCUUCGGGAAAAGAAGCUCUACGCCAAGUUGAAAAAGUGUGAAUUUUGGCUUAGAGAGGUGGCGUUUUUGGGCCAUGUGAUUUCAGGAUCAGGCAUAGCCGUGGACCCGAGGAAAAUUGAAGCUAUCAAGGAUUGGCCAAGGCCGACUAGCGUGACCGAGAUACGGAGCUUCAUUGGUUUGGCCGGCUACUACCGACGGUUUGUUGAGGGAUUUGCAAAGUUAUCAACUCCCCUCACGAGGCUCACGCAUAAAGGAACUAAGUUCAUUUGGAAUGAUGCGUGUGAAAGGAGCUUCCAAGAGUUGAAGCAGCGAUUGACGACCGCCCCGAUCCUAACCUUGCCAACUGUUGGAGCAGGGUAUGUGAUUUAUAGUGAUGCUUCCUUUAAUGGAUUGGGUUGCGUUUUGAUGCAGGACGGGAAAGUGAUCGCGUAUGCAUCUCGCCAAUUGAAGGAUUAUGAAAGGAAUUACCCCACUCAUGACUAGGUCUAUGUAGGUAUAAGCAGAUAGAUAGAUAGAUAUGUAAACAACAGCGACAUAGUAAGGAAAUCUAUACAAGUAUACUAUUAUGCCUCAAUCAACUGUAAUGAAUGCAUGAACUACAUAGUAAAGAAGUCAGCUAUCAUGCUACUGUAUCUAAGAAGUAAUACCCUUCAUACGUUCACCCAAUCACUUAGCUAACCCGAAGGUUUGCCCUCAACUCACCGUGUCAUCUCAUAGGUAAGGAGACCCUUCUUGCUCGCAAACUUGAGACCGUCUGCUGGACAAGUACGUUAGUCCAUCACGUAAAGACUUCGGAGCUCACUGCUUGUGUGAAGCAACCACCCCAAGCGAAAAUAGACUCUGUGAGUAUGAUCCAAUCCUCGCCAACUGAGGAUACCCUAUCCAUUAGCGCUAACAAUAGCUCGGAAACUCAUCUAUCGCUUUGUUUAAAUUCAAGUACUACCACUACACUAGAUUCACAUGCCACAUGUCAUAGCUAGGGAAAUGAACCUAUCCCUAAGUUCGUCACAUCAAAAGUGUUUCUUCUACACUAUAUUCACAUGCCACUUAUCUAGGUUGCCACAUAUUGUUUAAAUACCACUCAUUUUAUCAUCAACAUUGUUACAUGCCACUCGUUAUGUUUUUACACUAUAGGAUUCCAAACCACGACCCAAUCCUCAUAUACUCAUUGCGUCCAUUAGCUCAUUUGUUCAACUCAUAAUGCUACUAUUAUUAUGAAAGCAAUUAAGGAAAGGAAACACAACUAUCACAACCCUACAAUGCACAACAACACACGAGAUGCAUGGUCGACAAUGCAACUAAGACAUAGAAAGGAGUUCAACUGCUUCGGGAUGACACCACCCACCUUUUAAUGAUGUCGCGACCUUAGACUCCAAAUUCCGCGAUUUUUAGGACAUCGCCUCGGCACUCCAGGGGGAAACGAAGCUACAACCGUCCUUUUCUUCGAUAUCUUUGUGCGAACUCGACGGAUCGCCGAACCGACUUCACCAGCGCGUUAGAAUACCUAGCAAUCGGGUUUAUAUAGGUUCAAUUUAGAUCAAACCCCAUCAUUUCUCAAAAACCCCUUUGGAACCCUAGCUUGCUACAAUUGCAAGAAUACUCCAAUUAAAUCCUAGAUUCGUGCAAUUAGCAACCUACUAGCAUCCUAGGGUUCACCCAAAACCAAUUCUAGAGUAUAAAAUCCAAACUCUAGAAAUCUACCAUUAAAACUUAAAAGCUUACCUCUACAAGCUUUCUCCAAUGGUAAGGAAGAAGAGGAAGAAGAAGAUCCACUCUCAAGCUUCCUUCUCCACCAAAUCCCCUCCUUGUCUCCUUCCUUGAAGAGAGAGAGAGAGAGUAAGCGUAGAGAGAGAGAGAGUGUGUGUUCUUUGUAGCAAGUGUGAGGGAGAGAAGAAGAAAUGAGCCAAAAUCCUCUUCUAUACACUCUCACUUACACACAAUUGCACAUAACACCCUCAACAACCCAAUUAGCACACAGCCCAAUCUGGGCAUUUCGCAGCUAUGAGGUCUGGACCCUGGGGAGGGUCCAGACCCCGUGAGCAUGCAAAAACUGCAAAAUUGCAGGUUUGCACUAUAUGCUCUCCAGGGUCCCUCCACAAUGCACUAAAUGCUAUUUCGACGUGUUUGGCCUUUCCGAAGCGUCCCGAACUCGCCUUCGAUCAAUUUUGAACGAAGUUCGGAUUUAUGUAUCGAGAUUUCAUUUCCUUACAAUAAGUAGGCGGAUAGACUUUAGUGGGCGAGCUCAACAACCCGUCUCUAACUAAACUAGCCAUUCUAUCCCACCCAAUGUGGCCAAGAUGAGCAUGCUAUUUAAUGAAAACAUUGUAAUCAUUCUCAAUAAAAGAUGGCAAGAAAAAUGAACUACUAUCGUUAUCAUUAUAAACGAUAUCCAAAAUCAUAAAACCAUCUGAAAUAAAACUUCUAUCAUAAUAAAUAGUUUCAAGAUAAAUCUAAACUGUAUCAUUCUCAAAACUAAAAGAAAAGCUUAACUGAAGCAUAGCAAGAAUAGAAAAUAAGUUCUGCCAAAUUUCUAGUGCAUAAAAUACAUCAUGAAGGUACAAAGUGCGACCACCUCGCAUGAUCAACUUGUUCGUGCCUACGCCUAAAAUAUUGACACUGGAAUCAUUCCCCAUGUAUACUCUUCUGCACCCAGCAGGCACAUAACGGUACUUGAUGAAUCCCAUCCGAUCCCUCGCUACUGGUCUGUUGCUUUUGAGUCUACGAUCCACACGGAGAGAUUCAACAACAAUGAUCCACACAGAGAGAUUCAACAACAAACAUGCUAGAAAAAAUAAAAGAAAAAGAAUAAGGAAAAAGAGGUAUCUUCUUCGACUUAGUGCAAUUACGAGCAAAGUGUCCUAAUGUCACGUCCUGGGCCACAACAGAAACCUAUCGAGCGCGUGCACAGACCUGCCGUGUACAUCGAAACACCCUUGGUGCACACAAGGCGUCUACAACAAUCAUAGAGGAAGCAGUAUGAAUCGUUCCUAAACAUGGUAAUCAGAGCAAGAUCUAAAUUUACUAGAUACAAAAUUCCACGACUAAUACAUCACAAGAUUACAAAAAUAUAAUCAAGAGGUACAACAUGAAUACUUGGAAUAUCAAAUAAUGUACAAUUAUAUAUUCUUGAACUCAAUCAAAGAAAGAAUUCUACGGUCCAUCUAUAGCAACAUCGAGGAGGCUCUGGCUAGUCGCUAACCCCUUGGCACGAACCCUAACCUCUCCCGCCGUGAAAGGCUCUGAAACAAAAAUAAUCAACCAAUGGAGUGAGAACUAUUAAACAAUAGUUUUCAGUGGGUAAACCGCUGAGUGGCGAAAUACAUCACUAGGUCAACCGAGGCAUGCUAAUGUGCAAUAAAUAUUGAGCAUAUAGUUAACAAUAAAUUGAACAUUCAAGUUUUAGUCAUGCCUCUACAUGAUAUGUUCACUAACAUGUAUAUAAAAUUAUAAAUCUCUACAGUUACAUGCGCAAAUAAUGUAUAUGCAAUUUACAUGCUUGUCCAUCUUUAAACUAUAUGCAAUAGAUAAUUAAAAUGAAAGUCUUAUACUGUCAAUGCCAUCAAAUAGCUAUUGUCAUCAUGGAGCUACGUUUCUAUGCUAAUCAUCAUGAGUAAUAGGUUUGCUAUCACCAAAGUUGUCAAUGCAAACAAUGACCAACCACUAUGAAUGCAUCAAGUAGUGUCACAAGCUAACAACUCACUAGCAUGUCCAUCUACUAGGUAUGCAUUGACUAGUGUCACAAGGUAUCAACUCGCUAAUAUGUCCAUCCUAAUGUCAAGUUAAAGUAACUUUUACCCAAUUAAUGAGGGACUUACACGAGGUAAUGUCCCUGCUUGUACCGUGCCUAAUGGCCCCGUGGUAGUCAACAUUCCCCCGCUAGGAAUGAGCCUCACCCACGGCAAUCCACUUCGACGCCCAAUCCCGCACGGACGAGCAUGUUGUCGCAAAGGCUAACUCCAGAGUGCCGGCUUGUAGGGAGCAACCCUCACAAGCUUGUGCAAAUGAGCACAAUGACAAGCAAGCGUGAUCAUAUACGUCAUAUCUAAGACAAUCGGCCUCAAUCAUCAUGUCUAAAAUAUAGAAUUCCAAACCUCGACUCAAGGUCGAAUACUAUGCAUAAAUGUCAUAUUUCGUUUCCAAUAAACUUAGUGGUAUGCCUCUAAUAAUAUAUCAUAUAUCAUUCAAGACCCUAAAGGGGUUUAUUAACAUGCACCAUUUCCCCUAGCAUGAAAAUAGCAACUCACAAUUGUCAUGUUCAAUGAACUAUAAGGAUAUCAACGAACUCAUGGUUCAAAUCUUGCAUACGGUUGCUACAUAACCUACACUACAUGGAGUAUAAAAGUUAUCAUGCAAGCAAUUACUUUCCAAUAAAUUAAGCAAUCAUAUGCAUAUGCCGUUUAUAUAGUCGAAAGUGUAGGGAAACUCUUUCAUCAUGUUUAUAACAUGGAAUUUCCAUCUAUCGACCUAGGGGUUGGGUGCAACCACAUAAGAUCAACUUUAGUAUAUUAAUUGAAUGCAACAUGCUUAAGUCCACAUCUUGUCAUUAACAUGCAAUAUGUCAUGUUCAUCUUAAUCUAAAGCAAGUAUAUUAAUUGCCUUACGAGUGUGAAUCCAACACUUAUACUAACUAUAUAGUGUCUCAUAGGAUACUAUUAUUCAUCUCUAACAUGCAUUCCUAUAUUUGCAUAAGAGAAACUAGUCAUCAUGCUACAAUUACAUCAAAUGUUCUUUACUACAUGGAGUAAGCAAAAUGUCCUCUACUAAAUAGAGUAUAACAAUUUCAGCUCUACUAAAUAGAGUACAACCAUUUCACCUCUACUAAAUAGAGAAUAACAAUUUCACCACAUAACAUGUAUGAAUCAUAUAUUCAAAAAUUCUCUGAUGGCGUAUCUAACAUGAGAAUGCAUCCAUUUAAGCCCUAUAACAAGAUAGGAGACAUAGGGGGAGUUCACCCAUUUCGGUGAGGUCAAAUCCACCGGAUACCCAUCAAACUUGUUUGUUUCUCCAAACGAAGUUGUCUACAAGUCUUCUAACACCCUAAGAAAAAUUCUCAAAGUGUUACAAGCUUCUAAAAAGCUAACCACGAAAUUCACCAAAAAUCAAGAAUAAAAUAGGUGAAAAUUACGUUAGAUUAAGUAGAACUUGUUCAAAGUCCAAAUCGAAGCUAAGAAGCUUCAAAUCCAACCUAUAAGAGUGUUCUACACUCGUCAAUUCCAACCAAUAAGCUUUCAAAAGAAAAGCCCCAAAACAAACCUGAGUUUCUACAAAACUAGAUUUUCUGCCAAAUUUCUUGCAAGAUUCAAGAUUUUCUACCAAAUUUCUUACAAGAUUCAUGAAUAAAGAAAGCAAGAGUAAUACACACCUCAAAUUAAGCUCCAAACCAAGCCAUGAGGUGCUAGGGUUGAAGUUCAAUCCACAAACAAGCUCUUUCAUACAUCUUCAAACUCCUCUCCAAGGCCCCAAAGCAAGCAUCUAUGGAGGAGAAAGAGGAAAAGAGAUCAACACCCAAAAAUCCAAAGGUGUGGAGAAGAAAAUCAAGAGAGAAAGGGGAAGAAACUCACCUCUUCUCUCACCCCAUCCUCAGCCAACUGAGGACAAUGAGAGGUGAAGGGUUACUUAAACACAAUGUAACAAUAUCCACCAAAACCCCUCCAAACUCAGAAAUUACACCCUGCACGAAACAGAUUUUAAAAUAUGAGUACCGGUACAUGACAUUGACUACCAGUACUCAGCAAUCAGUACCGAUACCCGAAGGUCAGUUCCGCAGAACCCGAACGUUGGAAGUUUAGAUUUAUAACUGUGUACCGGUACCAGCCCAAUGCAGUACCGGUACUCAGCCCAGUACCGGUACCCACCACUUGGUUCCGCAGAACUCGAGAGCUGUCCGAACCAAUUAGCAACUGUGUUCCGGUACCACAAUCCAGUACCGAUACUCAACACAAAUACUGCAAUUUUUGAGGAAUUUGAUCUGGAGUCCGUUUUCGCGCUUAAAAAGCCUCAAAAACACUCCUAAACUCUCCAAACUCAAACAAUACCCACAGAAUAGUAUAAAGCACUAUUCUCUCACUAGAACUUCGCAAUUUGUAAAAGUUCAAUGUGCUACAUUCUCACCUCCUAAAAAGGAGUUUCGUCCAUGAAACUAAAAGUCAAGCACAAUACAAAUCCAUCUGAAAGAGAUGGGAAAGUGCUCAAGAAGCGUAGUCUCUUAACUCCCAAGUAGCCUCGCACUCGCCAGGUCGCUCCAAAGCACCUUCGCACUAGGAAACUCACGACUCCGAAGGCUCUGCACAAUGCAAGCCACAAUCAUCAAUAGUUGCUUCCUGAAGACUAGGUCCCCACGCUUGAAAUUUUCAUUUCUUGUCGAUGCUAAUCUGCUUAACUCUUCAGUCGAUUUCGCGUGAAAAUCAGUUGCUCCCAAGUGGGUUAAAUUCGACCUUUCACCUUUCCAUGUACAUCGAAAGUUAUAAUUAGCUUUCAUUCACAAUGCUCCUAUGAAGGGUGAUCUGCAUUUCCUUUUCAAUGAGGCUUCAAACGGUGACAUCCAUCUUGAAAGUUCAAGACAUAAACCUGAGGCACAUUUUCCAACAUUCAAAUGGUGCAUACUAAGUGGCCGCCACUUUACUGGUGAAAGGUUGUAAGGAUUGAGAUUUUGACAGUACAACUAAACUCUCUGUUGAUGAUGUUUUUGUGUGUAAUUUAAUUACAUAAAUACUCGUCAAGUUUCAGGAGAAAACGAGUUAGAACGGAAAAGUUACGCGAUUAUUAGUUUUCACUUAAAGUGAAUAGUAACCUAGUUUUUCGGAGAAGCCACCGAGUAGAGUUGGCUUCUGGUGCGUAUCGGACUCCGUUCAUAGCGAUCCAAUAGCUCGUUUCGACCGGUUCAGCUAUUCUGGAACCAUUGGCGCUGACGGAUUUUAGAUUUGAUGCACGGUUUUAGAGAAAAGGAGUUUUAUCAAAAAGAGGUUUUCGCUCUUUGCUUUUCUGGCAUUUUAAAGCUCCUCGUGCUCUGUGCUUGUGACAGGGGGGUUGGGUGAGAGAUGUUUAGGGUACCUACUAGUGGUAGGGAGUCCGAAUUUCGUGUGUGUGUGUGUGUGUGUGUGUGCACAUUAGGUUGUGUGAUAAUUAACGCGGUUAGUUGGGGUAGAGGGCGAUACUUUUCAAUCGGGGUUUCGUAUGAUGAUCCUUCGUAGUCAAUAAGAGUUGUUUUUCGAUGAAUGGAGCUUUUACUUGGACCUCUAGUUAAGUUUUUGAAAUAUAAGAAAUAACUCGACAUUCUAAAAAUAAAAGUUAAGGUAUUAUGAAGUGGCUCUAUUUCCAGAUCAUGUAUGUUACGCGUCUUGCAAGCGGGGUGGCCUCUCAAAUCUUGAUUAUGUAAUCCGACGGUCAAACGAACCGGUCUAUCGGAAAAUGGAUGCGAUGAUCGGAUUUUCUCAGUCUUCAUAUAAGACUGCAGUUACUCAGUGAAUUAGGUGAUGAUAGUCAGAGUGUCUGGCAAUAAUCUUUGUUGAAUGAAUUUUCUCGAACAUAUUAUGUACUUGCUUUAAUAUUUACAUGUGUUAGAUAGCGGUACUCCUCGGCGAAUAAAAAUUGUGGCGCAAUUUGGGUGAUGUUUGUAGUGACGUGUAGUAAAUUCUCGGUCAAUAUGAUUUGAAAUAUUAUGAAAUUUGUUUGCGAAGUUUUUAAUGCUCUUGAUAAUGUUUCUCGGUAUUGAAUCGUCGAUUUUCGGUUGUGAAGGCAUCUGAAUGCAAUCGUAAUUCGGCAUACAUAAGUGUGUGGAUCUUUAUGUCCAAUGCGGGAAUGUUAUAUUCAUUAGAAGUAUAUAUUAAGUAGAUGCUUGCUUGGGGACCACUAGUGGGGUCCUCUCUUUUUUCCCUCCUCGCUGCUAGUUCCUGUCUCUACUUAGCUGCUCUCUCUUAUACUCUAAUCCCUGUCUCCUAUGCCGGUUGACGCGUUCAUUACUCCUUAUAUUAGUUAUUUUCGCCGCUGGGCCUUUUCGCUUAUAUGCUCAUGGCACUCGUGGGAAAGAUAAUUGCUGCAGCAGGUGAUCCGAUCUCUUUUUUUAUCCGUGCACCGUACUAUUGUUCAAUGACCCCCUUGGCUCAUCGGAUGUGGUAGGUGAGGGCUGUGGACACCCCCUCAAUAGGUGCUUUGAUUGGUUAUAGUCAGGCGGGCCCGAGCGGUUUGUGGCGGACAAUCCGCAGUCUUGGUCUCGCUUCGCUUCUGUGAGUGCGGUAUUUCCCUAGACGAGACGGUGUCUAUGUAUUUCCGAACGUGUCGAUCUCGCUCUAGUUCUAGUUGUUUUUUCUCGGUAGGUGUCUACUUGACUGGUAGUGACAUGGUCAUGAAAUGAUCAGGCCGGAGCAUACAUUGAUCUGUCUGAUUAAGUCCUUAUCUGUCGCUGUCGAUCCGCGCUGUGUGGCGCAUGUGAUUGGCUUGCGUCGACCGUUCUCUGUGCGCUAUUCGACAUGAUCCUUCUCGGUUGAUUCAGGUGAUCGGUAGCCGGACUGUGCAAAUACAUAUAUCUUGCGCAGAUAACAUUAUAAAUUUCCAAAGUAAGAUGGUCCGCUCGACCCACGGUUUUGAUGUUAACUGGCAGCAGUGAGGAGCGCGAGGGCCUUCUUAGAAUCUCACCUAGGCUUUAGAACUCCUGUGCUUUAUCUGGCACUGAAAGAGGUGCGAAGAUUACAAUCUCUUCCUUGCCUAUUGUUCUUGUCUGAAAUUCACUGAAGAAGGCCAGAUGAUUUUACAAAUGUUUCAUGGGUAUGGUUAGCAGGAGUACCUCUAACGGUGUUCACCCAAAGCUUUGUGAAGCUCAGAUUCACUUCUGGUUACUAUGCUGGAGCGUGUGUGGGAUUUCAUAUUGCCUCCCCUGUCGCUGCUAUAGUCUCGCCGCGCUCUGAGUUUUCACGCAAGUGGAGUCGAGCUUUGCUAUUACCGAUGGCCAUUACAGUCAGUUGGGCAGCCAGUGUGCUCUUGUUAUUGGUAAUGUGUGUCGUUUCUCGCGAGUCUGAUCUCAUCGCGCCGAUUAAGGUCUUGUGGCCAUCACUGUGGGGCAGGACUUUGUUCUUGAAUCGGGAGCUCGGCAUCUAUGUUGAGGCGGCCUCAGGCAUCUGACAUUAGUUACUUAUUAUGACACCGUUUGACCAUCCUACGAAUUCAUUCCGUAUGCUACUCUGGCUUCGCUUUGCGUUUCCGAUUAUAGCAUUGACAAGGUGUCACCGAGAUGAGCCCGAUGCACUCUUCUCACGUGUAGCGGUAGGGCAUCCAAGUCUGCCGCCUCCGCCGCCCUCUCCCGUCGAACGGACCGAACGAAGACCCUGGCUGCCCCGACACUGGCGCAACUUUCUGGCUGUUAGUGGUGCUGAUUAUGCCUUUACCUUAUCUAGUGAGCUGUGCGUGUUCUGUUUCCGUUGGAUGCCGGCAUGCCGCCUCGUGCUAUUCAACUUAGUACUUGUGCGAUUUGAUAUUAUUGUAAUAGUGCUUCAAUUUAGAUCUGCUAGAUUUGUUUCUAGUAAUAGUCCGCGUGUUGCGUCACUGGUUCGGUAAAUAGGGAGAUUUUGGAUGCUGCAUCUUCGAAGUAACGUUGCCAGGGAGUUGUUAGGAACGUUAUGCGAUUAGAAUGCUUGUUUUGCGUCAGUUGGUGGGGUUAAGGGGGCUCGGGGUCAUCUUCGGGCACCUCGUUUGUGUCAAGAGAUCUGCUCUGGUUGGCGCGGUGGUUAGACGAGUUUGGCGGGGGGCAUAAUGUUUCACUCAAAUUGUUGACGGGUCGCAUUAUCCCCGCUUGCGCUCCACAUGGACAGGAAUGCUUCGAAAGGUGUAUCGAUGGUUCGUCCGCACGACCGAGAGCUAUCCCAGUCGCUCUUGUGUCUUGUUAUUUGCGCUGAUGACGUUCUGGCUUGUGUAGAGGAUCAUAAGUGACAAAUCACAUAAUAAUAAUGUGAUUGUCGAGGUAAUCGGAGGGAUUUUAUGCUAUUUUGUCUUGUCGUUGUCAGCUGUUAAGCUGAUUUCCGAGCGUGUACAGGCUGGUGGGUGACCUCUGGACUGAUAUUGUCCAAAGGCCCAGACCUUUGCGUAGUGAUCGAAAUCUUGUUCCGGGUGCGUUGUUUGUGCUGUCGGCGGUCAAAAUCCACCGACGAGAACGCGGCAGCGUGAAUUUCGAGGUACUUUGUGAUAGCGGGAGUUUAUUGUCGGGCCAGCCGCUGAUGUCGUGAGUAUCUCGCGUUCAUUUCAGAGAGAUAGGAAAAUGACGCUGUACGGAUGGUGAGUUUCGAACGGGCUCGAAAUAUGAAUACUUUCGGGAACCCGGAUCCCGUAACGAUUAUCCGACGGAUAAUUGCUUUGGAGGACGAUGAUUUUGUGUUUGCUUGCCAGCACACAAAUAUAUUAGGGCUUGUUGAUAUGGUCAGCGGUGUACUCGCUGGAACGCAGUCCAGAUGGCAUUCCGGGACAAUCUGUUGGUAACCUUGGCGGGUAGUCCGACUAGCAAUUUUCGGGCUUUCCGAUCGUGUAAUUACGGUAGGUCGGUUUUGUGAGAAACCGAUCUCCGUGGAUUUAUUGUUGGGUCGGUUGGAUUUAGAUGGUUAUUAGUGUGUGUUAUGGGUUAGACACUAACCCGGUGGACCUUCCUUAGGUCCGGUUGACAUCCUUUCGCAGUCAGGAGACAGGCGCGACAUUCGUACAGGUGGGUACUUCGAUCCGAAGUCGGUAUAGUGGUGCACGCUCUGUGAUAGUUUCUGACCCUUGCUCUAUCGUUGUUAUCUGAUAUAUAUAUAUAUAGUGUUGAGCCUAGCACCCAUGUUGUUUAAUUUUAGUUAUACUCUACUCGGUUGUUUUUCAUAUCUAGUAUCAUGAGUAGGAGUAGAGCAUAAUUAUGAUUGCUUGUGAGAUCAGUGACCGAGUCGGUCGAUUCUAGUAUCCCGUAUUUGUGACCUAUUCGGUCAGUUCCUUGACUUCUGUUGUCCGAUGACCGUUGAGGUCGGUAUACCCCGAGGGGUGGGAUUGUCGAUUAGUUGCCGACAGAUGAUUAUAGUUUACUCAUAUCCAUUGUUUGACAUGUCUGUGACCCAGUCAGUCAGUUCGUGACUUUUGUCGAGUGAUGACCUAUGAGGUCGGUGUACCCUGAGGGGUAGGAUUGUCAGCUAGUGGCUUACGAUAGUUCUGGAUUAUACACUCAGAUGACUUGUUGAUCGAUUCUUACAUAUAUAUUGUAGUUGACUUAUUGAUCAGUAUUUACAUAUGUUUGAGAGGAUGUUGAGUUGUUCCAUCCUAGUUGACCUGAGUAGUCAGUCCUUGUGCUUCCUUACAGUUGAUGACCUAUACGGUCGGUGAGCCCUGUGGGGCAGAAUUGUCGGCUGGUUGCUGACGUUUGGCCUUUGAGCAUAUCAGCAUUGAUCGUCCGAGACUUGUUCACAUUUCACGAACACCAGCAGUCUGAUCCACCGCAAGAGGGUGUUCUUUUUCAGAAAAGUAGUUGCUAGUGUCAACCCAUGAGCCCAAGAGGGGUUAUAUGCUUUCAGCCUGAGAUGUUGGGUACCAAUAUGGCUUAUUUCUUUUUAGAGCAGUUGGGCAUGGGCCUGAGGUGUUGGGUACCAAUACGGCCUGUUCCAGAUUGGGUAUAUUUGGUCUAUACGUCUGGUUGACGCAUAUGUCUAUAGUAGCAGUUGUUGCAUGCAUACUUAUAGUUCUUUCUUUACAGUUGUCUUGCUACUAUAGUUUUGAUAUCCAUAUAUGCAUUCAGUUUUUUUUUACAGUAGCGCUAGUUGUGUAUUCGGUUAUUGUUCUAUUUCCUUCCAGGUUAUAGCUACUGUAUUUGUUAUAUCUGCUCAUGACCUUAUUUAUCUCUUUCUGAUCCGAUGAGUACUCCUCGCCUUCGUCGGCUUGCGGUACCCACUGGGAGGGGAGACAUGUUUACAUGUUCUCACCUCCCCCACCAUUUUUUAGGUAUUGCGGGCAGUAAGGGUUGAGACGAGACGUGAGAUGCAUUCGUAGUGGUCGAUAGAGCUUCCGACCCGGUAUGAUUGGUUUGGAUACUACCCUCUCUAUUUCUGUUAAUGUAGCUUAGGCAGUUUAUAUUGUUCAGUAUUUUUAUUACAUUUGAAUAUGUGGGUGUUCAUGAAUGUAAUAAAAGGAUUUUUGAAAUUUUGUAAAAUAGAAAGGUUUUCUACCCCUCGUGAUAGUGUGUUUUAAAAAGAAAAAGUUUCCGUGUGGGAAACAGCUUUCAAAAGAGUUUCUCGUAGUUUUUCUCGACUUAGCAUUUUAAAAUAGGUUUCCGGGUAGGAAACAUUUCAACUGAUAGUUGUGGAUUUAUGUUUAAAAUCUGUAUAUGAACAUAUGGAGAAUGGUGUAUGAAUGUACGAAUGUAUAGUGGUUUGUAUGUUCAUUUAGUUGUGGUUGUAUCCUGAUAUACUUGUUGUACUUGUGCGAUGCCGUGCAAAUACAGUGGAGACUCUGUCUGUGUGAACAGUGGACUCCCUGUAUUUGUGGCGGAUCUGGCAUACCCUGGGGUCAGGUCUUUUAGAAAAAAAAAUUUCUAAUCAUUUUCGCUGUGUUUUCAAACUAAAAGAGACCCCGGGGCGUGACAAAAGUGGCGCCAAAAUCCAAUUGCAUGCCAAGAGU